rnacentral:misc_RNA from 1 species
GAUGAAGAACGUAGCGAAAUGCGAUAAGUAAUGUGAAUUGCAGAAUUCAGUGAAUCAUCGAAUCUUUGAACGCACAUUGCGCCCGCCAGUAUUCUGGCGGGCAUGCCUGUUCGAGCGUCAUUUCAACCAUCAAGCCCUGCUUGCGUUGGGGUCCUGCGGCUGCCCGCAGGCCCUGAAAACCAGUGGCGGGCUCGCUAGUCACGCCGAGCGCAGUAAUACAUCUCGCUUUGGGCGUGCGGCGGGUUCUUGCCGUUAAACACCCCCUUUUUACCAAGGUUGACCUCGGAUCAGGUAGGAAUACCCGCUGAACUUAAGCAUAUCAAUAAGCGGAGGA